UAAAUUUGAGGAUAGAAAAGUCAGCUAUCGCCCUUGUUAGGAGAUGUAGGAGUGACGCCCUACCAAAUUAU
rnacentral:ncRNA from 1 species